GGGCCCGGCAACGGCUCUGACAACAACCAGCAACGUGUCAUUUGUUUUUAUUACUCUAGGAGGGCAAGCUGCUGUGCGUGACCAAGGAAACGGAGAGCGGGCUGCCCUUGUGAACUUGCCGAGUGCCUGAUGGAGAUCGGGAGGAGAGGAGAGCUGGGGGAGCAGGAAAAACAUUACUUCUCUCCUGCUUAUUGGCCGAGGCAAGAUUGAUUGACUGCACUGGCGGUAGCGUAGCAGGCGCCAAGACAGGAGAAAUGUGGCGGCUGGAAAGAUGGACAACUCCAUCGUUUCAUUCUGCAUUUCAUGCAGAGCUACCAUUACCUUGCUGGAUAUUUCGUGGGAGGUUUGCUGGUCUGAGCCUGUAGGCUUCGGGAUCGUCGACAGUGUGCUAAUGUAAAGUUGCUUGAGCUUAUGGAAGAUUUUUGAAGGCCUGGAUUCCAUGUGUUGAGACUGGCACCAUAUCAGAGGAACAGCUGAGUAUAUGGAGCAGGGAAGCUACGUGUGAGUUAUCCAGCAAGGAGAGAAUCCGCCUGGGGCUGCGAUCCUGGGUGCUGGAAUGAGGAGGGGAGGCAGCGGUCCCAGCUGGUCCUCCCCCACCACGCAGACAGGCUGGGGUUUUGCUCCACAAGAGCAGGAUUAUCAUGUUGAUGGACAGUGUCCUGGGCAGCUUUGUCCUGUUUAUUUGCAGGCUAGGCAGGGCCAGGGGUAUGUGGAGGCCAGGGUGGGAUGUGCUGCGGGGGGCAAGGAGGAAUGUGGAUCUUCCCUCUGCUGUGGGACAGUGGGUUGGCUGCCUUAGCAAGUGCCAGCCCUCAGAAGUGGCUCUGGGGCUACAGGGAGAGGAUAUUUAGAAAAUCUAAUUUUAGCUGAGUCAGCUCUUCCCUAGGGUGGCCAGGAGAGAGAAGCUCCUGCCCAGAGGAGCUGGCUGCCCUGCUCACAGGGAAGGAGACAAGCUUGAUGCCUUCAGCCACCACCUGGAAACCCCCUGGGGGCAGUGCUAAAGGGAUGAACAUUUCCUCACCAACUCCCAAGCUGCUCUGACAAAGAUCCCAGGAAUACCUAGGUCUGCAGAGAGGUGCUGCCCCACCACCAGAGAUUUCAUUCACCCAUGUAGGGCAGAGAUAAUUGUCCCCCCGCUAUCCAGAUUCACUGCCUGCCCCCCUGCAGGAGGCACUAAAGCAGAAAUAGUCAGGGCAGAGCCCAGAAUAGCUGAAUGGAUCCUGGUGCAGCGUCUGGAAGAGUUGGAUCAAUCCAAGCUCCCCUCCACGGUGGUGCUGACUCACCAGGACAGGCAAGGGGCUCAGCAACUCUGGAGCCAUGUAUGAGCCAGUGGCAGCUGGAGGGUGCCUGGGAAGGGAGGAUUGGAUCGACAGGCAGGUGAAAAAGCUUUUGUGACAACCAGCUUUGAGCUCUUGCAAACACGACAAGCCCACCUGAACUGGUUUUCCUGGGAGCUGCCAUGCGGCACCAUGACCAGCAUGAUGCUGCUGCUGCUGGGGACAAGCUGGUGCCUUUGUCUUUCCUGGCUGAGUGAACAAACUGAUGGCUUUAGGUACAGCUACCAGCAUCCUUCCUUCUGGAGCAGGUCAGCCCUGGCUGCCAAGCCAGGCUGCUCCUUCCCAAGAGCAGUCUGUGGAAUGAAUUCUUACACCGGCCUAACGUAAUUGGGCUAAAAGAUCUGCCACACUCCUCCAAGGUCUUUGGGGAGGCUCCUGGGCUGGGCCUUUUGCUGUCCUUAGAAGGGGCCAUCAGGAUGUGUGAGUGGAAGUGAGAAAUGAGAUUUCCUGGGAAUAAUCCUCCUACAUGACACUCAGUGGCAUCUGUGAAAAGUCUCGUGUGCGCCGAGGGGAUACACGUGAGGGAGCGUGGAGAGACGUCUGGAGAGAGACCACGUCCUGUUAAUUUGCUCCAAAUUUGUGAGGGUUGGGUGGCCAGGCUGAUUGGAGAGAGAGGCACUGCAGGCCUGGAUCACACAGCCAAGCUCAGCACCGUAUAGGGUAGAUCAGAACCCGUGCUGCAAAUAAGGUGAGGCAGAGCCCAUCCUGAGCCUCUGUAAAGCCACUCUCUGCACCGAGGGCUCCUAAAUUGGCUGUCACCUCCCAGGAAUCGGGUUAUUUUGUGACAACCCAAUGAGGACCUCUGCUUGAAAGCCCAGCUGUGACCAAAAAGGUGAGUAAAAAUGAGAGGCUUCACGGAAGAGACUGCAGAGAAGGAUGUCAGAAGUUUCACAAAGGCGUUAGACAGGCGGGGGGUGUCACCAUGACCUCGCACGGAGCGCUGUGGGCAGGGCUGCACAUCCCACCUCACAAACGACAGUCACAGGCACGGAUCUGGAGGAGGCUGGGAAAAUAGCUCCAAGACUGGCAGACCCUGGGGCUUUUGUAUGCAGAAGCUUGGGCCCACUUGGCUUACAAAUUUCUGGGACUCUUAACUCCAGCUGAUUGUUUCUGGCGAUGACUGGAGCCAAAGUUUUGCUCCAGUGUUUGGGGAAGUCAACUGGACUUUGCCUGUUUGAAUUCUCUGACCUGCAGUGACAUGGGCUGGUUAAAACCUGACAAGGGAUGCUCUGAAGUAGAAAACUCCUGUCUAGAUCAGACCAGGAAGGUGUUUCCAGCUCCAUGCUGUGGGUCAGCGUUGUGCUGUCUGUAUUUCCUUAGGCAUCUGUUAACAAGCCACUGCUAAAUAGUGAUAAUCCUGCUGCUGCAAGCCCAGGUCUGAGUGUUUGCUACAGCAGGAUAAUGUCCCUGGUUAGAGAUGUGUUUGGAGCCUGUGCAAUGGCCCACUUAAAUCCACGUGAGACUUGAGGGGUCUUGGCAAAGGAGCAGCCUAAAUCAAAUUAGGAAGACAAGGGGAUGUUCCCAUGGGCCACUGCCUGGGAGUGAGCCCACAGGACUUGAAACAAUGAGGUUUCUUUUGCCACGGAACAGUAGAAAUAGGUAAUCCAGAUUAGUUGCUAAGUGCCUCCAGGAGGUAGGAUUAGUAGAAGGAAGAGUCUGCAGCUGGCAGAAUCUCACCAGGAAAAAGGUACGGACAUAACGGUGCCUUUGCAAGGGUCUGUCUGAUCCUAGAGGGCAAAUCAUGGGAAUGACCACAGAAACUCUCCACAGGCCAUAGGAACGAUGUUUAUGUGUAUAGGAGGUGUCUGUGAGCCUGCACCACUUUGGCUCUCUCUCCAAAUGUCAUGAUCAAAGCACUGAAUUUA